AUUGAACGCUGGCGGCAUGCCUUACACAUGCAAGUCGAACGGUAACGGGCCUUCGGGUGCCGACGAGUGGCGAACGGGUGAGUAAUACAUCGGAACGUGCCCGAUCGUGGGGGAUAACGAGGCGAAAGCUUUGCUAAUACCGCAUACGAUCUACGGAUGAAAGCAGGGGACCGCAAGGCCUUGCGCGGACGGAGCGGCCGAUGGCAGAUUAGGUAGUUGGUGGGAUAAAAGCUUACCAAGCCGACGAUCUGUAGCUGGUAUGAGAGGAUGAUCAGCCACACUGGGACUGAGACACGGCCCAGACUCCUACGGGAGGCAGCAGUGGGGAAUUUUGGACAAUGGGCGCAAGCCUGAUCCAGCCAUGCCGCGUGCAGGAUGAAGGCCUUCGGGUUGUAAACUGCUUUUGUACGGAACGAAAAGCCUUCUUUUAAUACAGGAGGGUCAUGACGGUACCGUAAGAAUAAGCACCGGCUAACUACGUG
rnacentral:rRNA from 1 species